UUUAUGGAGAGUUUGAUCCUGGCUCAGGAUGAACGCUGGCGGCGUGCCUAAUACAUGCAAGUCGAGCGAACGGACGAGAAGCUUGCUUCUCUGAUGUUAGCGGCGGACGGGUGAGUAACACGUGGAUAACCUACCUAUAAGACUGGGAUAACUUCGGGAAACCGGAGCUAAUACCGGAUAAUAUUUUGAACCGCAUGGUUCAAAAGUAAAAGACGGUCUUGCUGUCACUUAUAGAUGGAUCCGCGCUGCAUUAGCUAGUUGGUAAGGUAACGGCUUACCAAGGCAACGAUGCAUAGCCGACCUGAGAGGGUGAUCGGCCACACUGGAACUGAGACACGGUCCAGACUCCUACGGGAGGCAGCAGUAGGGAAUCUUCCGCAAUGGGCGAAAGCCUGACGGAGCAACGCCGCGUGAGUGAUGAAGGUCUUCGGAUCGUAAAACUCUGUUAUUAGGGAAGAACAUAUGUGUAAGUAACUGUGCACAUCUUGACGGUACCUAAUCAGAAAGCCACGGCUAACUACGUGCCAGCAGCCGCGGUAAUACGUAGGUGGCAAGCGUUAUCCGGAAUUAUUGGGCGUAAAGCGCGCGUAGGCGGUUUUUUAAGUCUGAUGUGAAAGCCCACGGCUCAACCGUGGAGGGUCAUUGGAAACUGGAAAACUUGAGUGCAGAAGAGGAAAGUGGAAUUCCAUGUGUAGCGGUGAAAUGCGCAGAGAUAUGGAGGAACACCAGUGGCGAAGGCGACUUUCUGGUCUGUAACUGACGCUGAUGUGCGAAAGCGUGGGGAUCAAACAGGAUUAGAUACCCUGGUAGUCCACGCCGUAAACGAUGAGUGCUAAGUGUUAGGGGGUUUCCGCCCUUAGUGCUGCAGCUAACGCAUUAAGCACUCCGCCUGGGGAGUACGACCGCAAGGUUGAAACUCAAAGGAAUUGACGGGGACCCGCACAAGCGGUGGAGCAUGUGGUUUAAUUCGAAGCAACGCGAAGAACCUUACCAAAUCUUGACAUCCUUUGACAACUCUAGAGAUAGAGCCUUCCCCUUCGGGGGACAAAGUGACAGGUGGUGCAUGGUUGUCGUCAGCUCGUGUCGUGAGAUGUUGGGUUAAGUCCCGCAACGAGCGCAACCCUUAAGCUUAGUUGCCAUCAUUAAGUUGGGCACUCUAAGUUGACUGCCGGUGACAAACCGGAGGAAGGUGGGGAUGACGUCAAAUCAUCAUGCCCCUUAUGAUUUGGGCUACACACGUGCUACAAUGGACAAUACAAAGGGCAGCGAAACCGCGAGGUCAAGCAAAUCCCAUAAAGUUGUUCUCAGUUCGGAUUGUAGUCUGCAACUCGACUACAUGAAGCUGGAAUCGCUAGUAAUCGUAGAUCAGCAUGCUACGGUGAAUACGUUCCCGGGUCUUGUACACACCGCCCGUCACACCACGAGAGUUUGUAACACCCGAAGCCGGUGGAGUAACCUUUUAGGAGCUAGCCGUCGAAGGUGGGACAAAUGAUUGGGGUGAAGUCGUAACAAGGUAGCCGUAUCGGAAGGUGCGGCUGGAUCACCUCCUUUCU
rnacentral:rRNA from 1 species